rnacentral:rRNA from 1 species
AACCAACAGGGAUUGCCCUAGUAACGGCGAGUGAAGCGGCAACAGCUCAAAUUUGAAAUCUGGCUCUUUCAGAGUCCGAGUUGUAAUUUGCAGAGGGCGCUUUGGCUUUGGCAGCGGUCCAAGUUCCUUGGAACAGGACGUCACAGAGGGUGAGAAUCCCGUACGUGGUCGCUAGCUAUUGCCGUGUAAAGCCCCUUCGACGAGUCGAGUUGUUUGGGAAUGCAGCUCUAAAUGGGAGGUAAAUUUCUUCUAAAGCUAAAUAUUGGCCAGAGACCGAUAGCGCACAAGUAGAGUGAUCGAAAGAUGAAAAGCACUUUGGAAAGAGAGUCAAACAGCACGUGAAAUUGUUGAAAGGGAAGCGCUUGCAGCCAGACUUGCUUGCAGUUGCUCAUCCGGGCUUUUGCCCGGUGCACUCUUCUGCAGGCAGGCCAGCAUCAGUUUGGGCGGUGGGAUAAAGGUCUCUGUCAUGUACCUCUCUUCGGGGAGGCCUUAUAGGGGAGGCGACAUACCACCAGCCUAGACUGAGGUCCGCGCAUCUGCUAGGAUGCUGGCGUAAUGGCUGUAAGCGGCCCGUCUUGAAACACGGACCAAGGAGUCUAACAUCUAUGCGAGUGUUUGGGUGUCAAGCCCGAGCGCGUAAUGAAAGUGAACGGAGGUGGGAACCCGCAAGGGUGCACCAUCGACCGAUCCUGAAGUUUACGGAAGGAUUUGAGUAAGAGCAUGGCUGUUGGGACCCGAAAGAUGGUGAACUAUGCUUGAAUAGGGUGAAGCCAGAGGAAACUCUGGUGGAGGCUCGCAGCGGUUCUGACGUGCAAAUCGAUCGUCAAAUUUGGGCAUAGGGGCGAAAGACU